rnacentral:rRNA from 1 species
AUUGAACGCUGGCGGCAGGCCUAACACAUGCAAGUCGAGCGGAGCGGCGGACGGGUGCGUAAUGCCAAGGAAUCUGACUGGUAGUGGGGGAUAACGUUAGGAAACGGGCGCUAAUACUGCUACCUAUCAGAUUAGCCUAGGUCGGAGUAGCGAGAGGGUGGUGUAAAGGCCUACCAAGGCGACGAUCCGUAACUGUUCUGAGAGGAUGAUCAGUCCCACUGGGACUGAGACACGGUCCAGACUCCUACGGGAGGGAGCAGUGGGGAAUAUUGGACAAUGGGCGAAAGCCUGAUCCAGCCAUGCCGCGUGUGUGAAGAAGGUCUUCGGGUUGUAAAGCACUUUAGGUAGGGAGGCGUUAACAACAGAAUAAGCACCGGCUAACUUCGUGCCAGUAGCCGCGGUAAUUC